rnacentral:sRNA from 1 species
GAGACCGGAGGUCCCCGCCCGACAGCGCAGUGCGCCCUCGGGCGUCAAUUGUG